rnacentral:rRNA from 1 species
ACCAGACUCCUACGGGAGGCAGCAGUGGGGGAUAUUGCACAAUGGGGGGAACCCUGAUGCAGCGACGCCGCGUGGGUGAAGAAGCGCCUCGGCGCGUAAAGCCCUGUCAGCAGGGAAGAAAAUGACGGUACCUGAAGAAGAAGCCCCGGCUAACUACGUGCCAGCAGCCGCGGUAAUACGUAGGGGGCAAGCGUUAUCCGGAUUUACUGGGUGUAAAGGGGGCGCAGACGGCGAUGCAAGCCAGGAGUGAAAGCCCGGGGCCCAACCCCGGGACUGCUCUUGGAACUGCGUGGCUGGAGUGCAGGAGGGGCAGGCGGAAUUCCUGGUGUAGCGGUGAAAUGCGUAGAUAUCAGGAGGAACACCGGUGGCGAAGGCGGCCUGCUGGACUGCAACUGACGUUGAGGCCCGAAAGCGUGGGGAGCAAACAGGAUUAGAUACCCGAGUACA